rnacentral:lncRNA from 1 species
UCGGUGAGGGUGCGGGGCGGGGGCAGGUCCUGCACCGCUGUGCUGACGUGGGGAUGCGGAGACGUCCCUCUCCUUUACUCUUAGGGACACGGUAACCGCUCGCAGGCGCCGCGUCGGGGCAGCUGGGGCAGCGCGGGCUGCGUGGAGGGAGAGCCCGGGGACAGCGAAGGACGGGGCGGCCCCCGGGCGGGGCGGACAACGGGCUGCAGGCGGGCGGGGCUGCUCGGAGGCCAUGUCCGGCGCCGACACUCCACGUGGGCCUGCGAGGCUCCAUCUCCACAACCAGGGUCCGCGCCCCGGCUUCCCGCCCCACCAACUCCGGGGUGAGCAGAGGUGAACUCCCCAUUGGAGGAGUCUGGUCACGUGACCACGCCCUAUUGCAAGGGACGCUGGGAAAGAGCAGAUGCCGGGGAUCCCGGGAGAGGGAGGAUGCAAGGGACGCUGGGAAAGAGCGGAUGCAAGGGACGCUGGGAGAGGGAGGAUGCAAGGGACGCUGGGAAAGAGCGGAUGCAAGGGAUGCUGGGAGAGGGAGGAUGCAAGGGAGAGGGCGGACGGUCCUGUCGUCAGGUCCCGACUGGCCUCCGCCUUGAGCAGAACACAGACGUCACGGGUGCACGUGACGUGGUCAGAGCGCCGCCGCCUCCCUCUUCGCCGGGCUCCAGAUCUCCCAAGUGGCUGCCGGCGGGCCCCGGCGUCACGAUGACCCGUGGAGACACCGUGUGCAUCACUGAAGGGGUUAAAGGCGGCAGUGGCAGGCGAGGUUUUGGAAAGCUGGGGUUUGGGGAAAUAGUUUACAGGGAAAGAGGUCUGCAGUACCCCUGUCCUCGGCCCAGGCUGCAGUCAAUGAAACCAAAGCUCCACGAAUCAUGGAUCUCAGGAGAAGCAGGUGAAAACUCACAGUUGAGGCUCACCGUUGGAUCAAGUGCAACAGCUGUCUAAAGCUACGCAGGCAGGAAUCAGUGUAGCCAAACGCUGGACAAUUUGUGCUUCUAAGAAUGUUUUCUUAAAAUGAACCUACAUGUAAUAGGCAAGACAGGGCUAUUUCAAAAAAAUCUGACUUUGGAAAGAAACAUUUGCUAUAAAAUGGGAGCUAAAGUCAUCCCUGAUUUACUGAGUUUGCCAAAAGAAAACCAAAAAGGACAGCACAGGUCGGCAUGGGUUUCUGGAAGGAUGGCUUUGCCAGUGCCGAGAGCUGGACGUUUGCUCAGAGAUGGGACUGAUGGUCCCUUUCUGGCAUGUUCUGAGUGGAGAGGGGGCUUCACUGAGACCCGCCAGCCCAGACACAAGAAAGCCCUGGGCUAUGGGUUGAGGGUCUGUCUUUUCAGGGAUGGCUAAAGGGCCCACUGGUCACAGGAGGUCACUUUCCCCUGAGUCCCUGAGGGCAGGGGCUGCUUCAGUAGGUUGGCUGAUGGGUUCAUUAAGUCUGGGGCCACAGGCUUGAAGUUUGUCCCUGGGGGGUCUCCAGUUGAGCAAGGACCAAGUGCCUUUGACUAUGAACACACAGCAGAGCCCAGUGGACAAAUUCAGAGGUAGGAGAGCCCAGUGCAGGGCUAGGGGGCUCCUGAGACUCCCCUUUCUGCUGAUCUGUGUCCUCACUCCUGCCGUUACCUGCCUUGAAAUCUUCCCUCAGCUGUCCUCCUUCCCACCAGCUUUUGCCUGUCUAAUGCCUUCUGAUCCUUCACAGCUCAGGUUGUGUCCUCCAGGAAGCCUUGGCAGCCCCUCCGGGUAAACCUCCAUUCACCCCCACGCAGGAUUCCUGCUUACGCUUAUUGCAUUACACUGGCGUCUACUUGGGGGAUGAUCUUAACCUUAAAGCGUAAGUUCUUCAAGGAAUUAUGUCCUAUUUUCUUUUUGUUUGCCUUUCCAGCAACCAGCAUAGUACCUGAUGCAAAGUAACUGUUCAAGAAGUGUGUGGAAUUGCGUGAAGCCUCAGUCGCAGGGAGAGCAGCCCUAGUGACACACGGUGGAAGGAAGCCUGUGGGAAAAACACUCACUCCUGAAGCUGUGGGAUCCUUAUGGUUUGCCAAAUGCCAGAGUAACACCUGCUCCACCCCCGCGCCCAGGAAUCCAGGAGUGCUGGCCUACCUGUGCACAUAGCACCACCAGGCCACAAGGGCAGCAACGUGGUUUUAAAGUCCUCCAGCCUGCCUGCCUUAAAAUUAUGUGAUUCACGAUGUUUUGGCUUUAAGGAAUUGGAUUGUUUCCAGUCUUUUGCAUCUAGUUAAAAUGCAUCGAUUUAAAAGAAUUCUGGUAUUUCGAAUUUGCAUAAUUUAAAUUCACAAAUGUGGUGUUAUAUUGGAUUGUAAAUGAAACACCAAGGUGAUCUGAGAGCCCCUGAAACCAGUGCUGGCCUGGUCACCAGCGGGCCCGUGACCCUGCAUCUGCGUUGGCCUUCGGGCUUCCAUAACCGGCACGGCCACUUGCCCCCGGGAUGCAGAUGUCCACUGGCAGAGGAGCAGUGAUAGUUCUGAUGCAAAAAUGCUGGAUUUGUGCCGUCGCGGAGAAGCAGGCCACCUCGUGUGUCUCAGCUUUCCCUUGGCUCCUCCCCGAAGCAGUUCAGCUGAUUGGCAUGGACUGGAGUUGGCUAAUAACAUGAUCUAUCCCUCCACUCAACCACAGCCUCUGGAGGAAGUCUGCAGGAAGGCUCUGGGAUGAGGAUCAGAGCUCUCCAGGGUUUGUGGCCAAUACCAAAUGGGAGGCAGACUCGCCUUGGGACAGUCUCCAUCCACAGCACUGCUCUCUGGUGUCUGAACCCAAGACAAACCAAAGCACAAUCAUAUUUUCCCCUUGGAUUGAACAGAGAGAUUCUUGAAAACUGAAACUCCAUGAAUUUAAGGAGGCAGGAUUUUACACCAAGUUGUUCCUAGGGUAGGUUUCGGGAGGGGAGAGUUAAGGAUUGUUUGGGCUGAGACAGCGUGUUUUGAGUCAAAGGGGAGUUGGUUGUACUGUCUGAAGCUCUGUAGCAUGAUAGCAGUAACCUGGUGACAGCUCUGGUGACAAAGUUGCCCAAUGAGCCUUCAGGAGACUGAGGACAAGACCUGGGUGGUACUUCAGAACCCAGUCCUGGUUUCGUGUGUUCAUGAGCACUGAACCUCUCUGAGUUCCAUUCUCAGCACCUGUGGAAUGGCAAUAACAGCAGCGAUCUACUUCGUGGCAGCCUCCCUAUAUGAGAAAUGAUUGAUAAGAAUAACUCAGCUGGGUCGUACAUGUAAAAGGAUCGAACAUAGAAUGCUCUAAAAUCUCACCAAGAUGCCAGAAGAUGCAUAUCCCUCCACACAGCUCUGAAAGAUCAAUAAGAAAAAAACAAAUAGCCCAAUAGAAAAAUGGGCAAUGAAUAGGAACAGGCAACUAACAGAAGAACUACAAAUGGCCUUUCAGUUGAGGUAGGUGUGCAACGUGACAAUGGUCAUCAACAACACUGUUGUGUGUUUGCAGCUCACUAAGAGAGAAAAUCUUCAAGGUUCUCCUCACAAAGAGAAAACCGACCAUAACUGUGUGAGGUGGUGAAUGUUAACUGAUUUUAUUGUGGUGACUGCUUUGUAAUACAUACGUAUAUCAAAUCAUUGGGUUGUACACCUUCAACUUAGACAAUAUUAUGUGUCAAUUGUAUCUCAAUAAAACAGAAGAAGUAAAUAAAUAAACUUGGGGG